rnacentral:rRNA from 1 species
AGGGGUAAAAUUAAUAAUUUUUUAUUAAUAAAAAUAAAUUUAAAUUAUAAAUAUUAAUUAUUUUAAUGGGGGUUAAAGUAUGGUUAAUAGGAAAAAUUUAAAAUUUUAUAUUAAAUUAGUAUUGUGAAAGAAUUUUGAAAUAAUUUAAAUAAUAAUUUAUUUAAAAGUUAUUUUUAUUUAAUGUAUCUUGUGUAUCAGAGUUUAUUAAGAAAAUUUUUUGGGGGAAAAAUUUCUCGAAUUUAAAAGAGAGAAUUAAAUAAUAAAGUUAUUGUUGUAAAAUUAUUUUUAAUAUUUAAUUUGAAAUGAUAUGUUAAUCGUUUUUAAAUAUAUCUAGUUUUUUUAGAAAAAAAUUUAAUUUUAAAUUUAUUUUAAUAAUUUAAAUAAUUAAAUUUAUUUAAUUAUAAAAUAAAUUUUAUAUAUUAAGGGAUAAGCUUUAAUUUAAAUUAAUAUAAUUUUAUUUAAAUAUAAUGAAAAUUAUAUAAUUUAUAUUUUUAAAAAUUUUUAAUUUAUUAUAAAUAAUUUCAGUUUAAAUAAAAUUUAAUAAAAAUUUAUUUAUUUAUGAAAAAAAAUUUUUUAAUAAAAAAAAAUUAGCUAUUAUGAUAAAAUUAGUAUAUGUAAAUAAAUUAAAAUUAUAAUUUGUUUUUGAAAAUUAUAUUUAAGGAAUUCGGCAAAUUUUUAUAUUCACUUGUUUAUCAAAAACAUGUCUUUUUGUUUUUAAUUUAAAGUCUAAUCUGCCCACUGAUUUCAAAUUAAAGGGCUGCAGUAAUUUGACUGUACAAAGGUAGCAUAAUCAUUAGUCAUUUAAUUGAUGACUUGUAUGAAGGAUUGGAUGAAAUAUAAACUGUCUUAAUAAUAAUUUAUAAAAUUUAAUUUUUUAGUUAAAAAGCUAAAAUAAUUUAAAAAGACGAGAAGACCCUAUAGAGUUUUAUUAAUAUAUAAUAAAUUUAAUAUAUAUAAAUUUAAUGUUAUUUUAUUUAUAAAAAAAAUUUUAUUGGGGUGAUAAAAAAAUUUAUAAAACUUUUUUUUUUUAUUAACAUAAAUAAAUGAUUAUUUGAUCCAAUAUUGUUGAUUAAAAGAAAAAAUUACCUUAGGGAUAACAGCGUAAUUUUAAUUUUUAGUUCAAAUAAAAAUUAAAGUUUGCGACCUCGAUGUUGGAUUAAGAUAAAAUUUAAAUGCAGAAGUUUAAAAUUUUUGAUCUGUUCGAUCAUUAAAAUCUUACAUGAUCUGAGUUCAGACCGGUGUAAGCCAGGUUGGUUUCUAUCUUUUAAUUUAUAUAUAUAUAUAUAUAUAUAUAUAUAUAUAUAUAUAUUAUGUAAUAUUUUAGUACGAAAGGAUUAAAUAUUAAAAUUAAAUUUAAAUUUA